ACCGAAAUAGCUCAGUUGGGAGAGCGUUAGACUAUAGAUCGAAAAGUCCCGGGUUCCGGCA
rnacentral:tRNA from 1 species